AUUGAACGCUAGCGGCAGGCUUAACACAUGCAAGUCGAGCGAGCGGCGGACGGGUGAGUAAUGUCUGGGAAACUGCCUGGUAGAGGGGGAUAACUACUGGAAACGGUGGCUAAUACCGCAUACCAUCAGAUGUGCCCAGAUGGGAUUAGCUAGUAGGUGGGGUAAUGGCUCACCUAGGCGACGAUCCCUAGCUGGUCUGAGAGGAUGACCAGCCACACUGGAACUGAGACACGGCCCAGACUCCUACGGGAGGCAGCAGUGGGGAAUUUUGGACAAUGGGGGCAAGCCUGAUCCAGCCAUGCCGCGUGUGUGAAGAAGGCCUUCGGGUUGUAAAGUACUUUCAGCGAGGAGGCGGUACCUGCAGAAGAAGCACCGGCUAACUCCGUGCCAGCAGCCGCGGUAAUAC
rnacentral:rRNA from 1 species